UCCCUGGUGGUCCGGUGGUUAAGACUUCUUCCUUCCAAUGUAGGGGGUGCAGGUUCGAUCCCUGCUCGGGGAA
rnacentral:tRNA from 1 species